rnacentral:rRNA from 1 species
UACGUAGGGGGCGAGCGUUACCCGGAUUUACUGGGCGUAAAGCGCGUGUAGGCGGCUGGUCAAGCGUGGUGUGAAAUCUCCGGGCUCAACCCGGAAACUGCAUUGCGAACUGACCUAGCUGGAGUGCAGGAGAGGGCAGCGGAAUUCCCGGUGUAGCGGUGAAAUGCGUAGAUAUCGGGAAGAACACCAGUGGCGAAGGCGGCUUUCUGGUCUGUAACUGACGCUGAGGCGGCGAAAGCGUGGGGAGCAAACAGG